GGGUCAGUAGGUUGGUCGUGCCACCGGUACGUACUGGUCUCACUGACUCCUCCUUCCUGAAGAACCGUAAUGCCAUUAAUUUGGUGUUGCGGGGAAACAGGACUGUUACUUUGAAGGAAUUAGAGUGUUUAAAGCAAGCUAACGCUUGAAUACAUUAGCAUGGAAUAAUGAAAUAGGACGAUCGAUCCUAUUUUGUUGGUUUCUAGGAUUGACGUA
rnacentral:rRNA from 1 species